rnacentral:rRNA from 1 species
GAUGAACGCUGGCGGCGUGCUUAACACAUGCAAGUCGAACGAUGAAGCCCAGCUUGCUGGGUGGAUUAGUGGCGAACGGGUGAGUAACACGUGAGUAACCUGCCCUUAACUCUGGGAUAAGCCUGGGAAACUGGGUCUAAUACCGGAUAGGAGCGUCCACCGCAUGGUGGGUGUUGGAAAGAUUUAUCGGUUUUGGAUGGACUCGCGGCCUAUCAGCUUGUUGGUGAGGUAAUGGCUCACCAAGGCGACGACGGGUAGCCGGCCUGAGAGGGUGACCGGCCACACUGGGACUGAGACACGGCACAGACUCCUACGGGAGGAAGCAGUGGGGAAUAUUGCACAAUGGGCGCAAGCCUGAUGCAGCGACGCCGCGUGAGGGAUGACGGCCUUCGGGGUGUAAACCUCUUUCAGUAGGGAAGAAGCGAAAGUGACGGUACCUGCAGAAGAAGCACCGGCUAACUACGUG